CCUACGGGUGGCAGCAGUGAGGAAUAUUGGUCAAUGGCCGAGAGGCUGAACCAGCCAAGUCGCGUGAGGGAAGACGGCCCUACGGGUUGUAAACCUCUUUUGUCGGGGAGCAAAGCGAGUCACCUGUGACUCAUUCAGCGUACCCGUCGAAAAAGCAUCGGCUAACUCCGUGCCAGCAGCCGCGGUUAUACGGAGGAUGCGAGCGUUAUCCGGAUUUAUUCGGUUUAAAGGGUGCGCGGUGGGAGGUGCAAGUCAGCGGUUAAAAUGCGGGGUUAAACCCCGUACUGCCGUUGAAACUGCAUCCAUAGAGUGCGCGAGAGGUAUGCGGAAUGCGUGGUGUAGCGGUGAAAUGCAUAGAUAUCACGCAGAACUCCGAUUGCGAAGGCAGCAUACCGGCGCGCAACUGACGCUCAUGCACGAAAGCGUGGGUAGCGAACAGGAUUAGAUACCCGAGUAGUC
rnacentral:rRNA from 1 species